rnacentral:rRNA from 1 species
AGUGAACGCUGGCGGUAGGCCUAACACAUGCAAGUCGAACGGCAGCACAGUAAGAGCUUGCUCUUACGGGUGGCGAGUGGCGGACGGGUGAGGAAUACAUCGGAAUCUACUUUUUCGUGGGGGAUAACGUAGGGAAACUUACGCUAAUACCGCAUACGACCUACGGGUGAAAGCAGGGGAUCUUCGGACCUUGCGCGAUUGAAUGAGCCGAUGUCGGAUUAGCUAGUUGGCGGGGUAAAGGCCCACCAAGGCGACGAUCCGUAGCUGGUCUGAGAGGAUGAUCAGCCACACGAGAACGGGGACACGGUCCAGACGCCUGCGGGAGGCAGCAGUGGGGAAUAUUGGACAAUGGGCGCAAGCCUGAUCCAGCCAUACCGCGUGGGUGAAGAAGGCCUUCGGGUUGUAAAGCCCUUUUGUUGGGAAAGAAAAGCAGCAGGUUAAUACCCCGCUGUUCUGACGGUACCCAAAGAAUAAGCACCGGCUAACUUCGUG